AGCCGGAUUUUUUAUUUAAAUGACAGGAAAGUACCUUUCGUGUUUUUGUCAAUGCAAUACUUAAAUUACUGAAAUAUUGUUCAAAGGUCAAAAUGAAAUGUAAGUACUUUUCAAGGCAUGAGCAAACCUUGUGUUAUGUUUUGAAUGCAUGCAUAUACAUGAACAACAAUAACAUUUAAGGUCACAGUGACCUUGACCUUAGAAUGAAUGACCUUGAAAUGACCAGUGGUCAUCUAAGUGUGCUUGCAAACCUUCAUGUCAAGUUUGAAGACUCUAUGUCCAAGCAUACCAAAGUUAUAACAAUUUUAACAUUUUAACAUUUAAGGUCACAGUGACCUUGACCUUCAAAUGAAUGACAUUGAAAUGACCAGUGGUCAUCUUCUAGUACUGGCCAAUCUUUAUUUCAAGUUUGAAGACUCUAGGUACAAGCAUACCAAAGUUAUAACAUGAAAUAAGAACUUUAACAUUUUUACAUUCAAGGUCACAGUGACCUUGACCUUCAAAUGAAUGACCUUGAAAUGUCCAGUGGUUACUUACUAGUUCUGGCCAACCUUCAUGUCAAGUUUCAAGACUCUAGGUCCAAGCAUACCAAAGUUAUAACAACUUUAACAUUUUUAUAUUGAAGGUCACAGUGACCUUCACCUUCAAAUGAAUGACCUUGAAAUGACCAGUGGUCAUCUGUUAAUCCUGGCCAACCUUCAUGUCAAGUUUGAAGACUCUAGGUCCAAGCAUACCAAAGUUAUACCAUGAAAUAAGAACUUUAACAUUUUUACAUUCAAGGUCACAGUGACCUUGACCUUCAAAUGAAUGACCUUGAAAUGACCAGUGGUUACUAACUAGUUAUGGCCAACCUUCAUGUCAAGUUUCAAGACUCUAGGUCCAAGCAUACCAAAGAUAUAACAACUUUAACAUUUUUUAUAUUGAAGGUCACAGUGACCUUGACCUUCAAAUGAAUGACCUUGAAAUGACCAGUGGUCAUCUGUUAAUCCUGGCCAACCUUCAUGUCAAGUUUGAAGACUCUAGGUCCAAGCAUA